rnacentral:lncRNA from 1 species
ACGUCAACCACCGGCCUAAGGAAAGCAGCGGGAAAGCUAAAGUGUGACGCGGCUUAAGCAGCUUGUCUGAGUUUGCACAGCUGGCAAAUGGCUGAGCCAUGACUCACACCCAGGUCCAUCCACCGCCAAAGCUCCAGAUCUCUGGCAUCCUUCUAAGGUCAGAAAGGGAAAGAAAUCCCUAAUAAGGAGCCUGUGUGACGGCGUGCCCCCCUCCACUUUCCCACCCCUGCCAAGGACCCGUUUGAAGGCUGUUCACGCCAGUCACUGCAAUCACCAUUGAGCACAGAGAUGACAGUUCCAGCAAGCACUGACCUUCCAGCCCACUCUGCGGAGGAGAAGACUGAGGGGCAGAGAGGCUGUUGAUUUGCUGCAGUUGACUCUGACCCUAAUUUCCCGGCGCUGACUCAAACUCAUCAGGAACACUGCUUUCACUGAGUGUAUGAAGUGGUUUCUCCAUCCGUGUGGCUUUACCUGAACUCACACCGGUCCCACGGCCCAGGUGUGGAGCCGAGCACUCCCCUCUGCCUCCUCCCUGGACUGCAGGACCUGUGUCUCGCUUUAUGAAAGAGAUGCCAUUUGGGGAAGACUCGCAUUGUCGGGAGCGCUGUGGACGCUCCAGAAGGAGAUCAACACGAUGAUGACGAUGCCGGGUGGAGGGAAUGUGCACUUCUCGGGAGGAGGAGCCAAAAGCAUUUUGCUGACCUCGGUGCAGAUCAACCCUGCAACAAGGUGCAGAAGAGGCACCAAAGGGGCUUUGUAGCCAGCAACAUGCCAGAUCCAUGCACCUUGUUGAUGCAGCCGACUCUGCAGGGGUGCAGGAGCCUCCUACUCACCUGGCCUCCACCGCCCACCCAGCACCCCUGGGGACUGUCCCCAUCCCCCCAGGGACUCCAGAGGGAAUGUGUUUUGUGCCGUGUGGAAAACAAGCCAUGCUCACUGCACACCACGACAGUCCCUUCAAGCUGUCAGAGUCCCUGCAUGUGGAGUGAAAAGGGGGAAAAAAGACAAUUUACAAUUGCAAAUUGGAACCCCUCUCUCGGAGUGGAGUGAUAAUCCAGCUAGGGAGACAGACGGUGAGGAAGUGCUCCAGGAACAUGUUACAACACAUCACUGCCUAGCAGAGACGAGAGGCUCCAGGAAGGACCUGGUGCCUGCCAUUCCAACCUUGAGGGGCUCCUGGAGGGACGCUGAGGACAAGGCGGCUGUCCCAUCACCUCACUCUUGUCUCUGCCCUCACCUCUCCCCACCGUGCAGGGCUCAGGACUACGGGCGCCCAGACACAAAGGCCCAGAGCCACAGAACAGUGAACUCCACACUGUGCAGCUGUUGGCGGGAGGGGCGGGGAGAGAGACCAGAGUCCCAUUUCUGCUGCCUUUUAAAUAAAAGACAAGGAGGAUGGCGA